rnacentral:rRNA from 1 species
CAUGUCCUUUUGAUAAUAAUUUAAGGUUUAAUCUGCUCAAUGAAAUUUAAAUUGCCGCAGUAUUUUGACUGUGCAAAGGUAGCAUAAUAAUUAGUUUUUUGAUUAAGAACUGGAAUGAAUGAUUGGACAAGAAAAUUACUGUCUCUUUUUUAGUUGUUAUUGAACUUUAUUUUUAAGUGAAAAAGCUUAAAUUUUUAUAAAAGACGAGAAGACCCUAUAGAGUUUAAUAUUCUUAGCUUUUUAAAUAUAGAAUUAUUUUUUGUUAAGGUUUAUUUAUUUGGGGUGAUUUAAAGAUUAAAUUAAUUCUUUAAUUAAAAAAUUAGUGAUUUCUAAAAAUAAAAUUCUAUAAUUUGUAAGUUUAAAAUAAAUUACCUUAGGGAUAACAGCGUAAUUUUUCUUUAAAGUUCUUAUUAAAAGAAAAGUUUGCGACCUCGAUGUUGGAUUAAAAUUAAUUUUUGGUGCAAUAACUUAAAAAUUAGGUCUGUUCGACCUUUAAAAUUUUACAUGAUCUGAGUUUAAACCGGUGUAAACCAGGUUGGAUUCUAUCUUUAAAUAGUUAAUAUAUUUUAGUACGAAAGGACCAAAUAUUUAUUAAAUUAAUUG